rnacentral:rRNA from 1 species
GAUGAACGCUGGCGGCGUGCCUAAUACAUGCAAGUAGAACGCUGAAGGAGGAGCUUGCUCUUCUGGAUGAGUUGCGCACGGGUGAGUAACGCGUAGGUAACCUGCCUGUUAGCGGGGGAUAACUAUUGGAAACGAUAGCUAAUACCGCAUGACAACAGUUAUUGCAUGAUAACUGUUUAAAAGGGGCAACUGCUCCACUACCAGAUGGACCUGCGUUGUAUUAGCUAGUUGGUGAGGUAACGGCUCACCAAGGCGACGAUACAUAGCCGACCUGAGAGGGGGAUCGGCCAACCUGGGACUGAGACACGGCCCAGACUCCUACGGGGGGCAGCAGUAGGGAAUCUUCGGCAAUGGACGGAAGUCUGACCGAGCAACGCCGCGUGAGUGAAGAAGGUUUUCGGAUCGUAAAGCUCUGUUGUAAGAGAAGAACGAGUGUGGGAGUGGAAAGUUCACACUGUGACGGUAUCUUACCAGAAAGGGACGGCUAACUACGUG